AAGAAAAACAUUCCAACUUGAAGGAACUAUAGUUCAAAGUGGCAGAGUAAGCAAUGUUCUCUAUAUGGAACUAAAGUUUGAAAUGGCAGCCAAGAAGUUAAAGCUCUAUCUGAUGCAAUGCAUAUUUCAAGUAAAAAUUCCUACUUCAAAUUAUGUGACACUUACUGUAUCCAGAAAAAAGGGUGCCCUAUGGGAUCCCUGCUGACUGGCCCCAUGCCAAAAGUAUUAGUUAGAGCAACUGAAGAAAAAGUUAUCAGCAAAUAUAGAAAAUAUAUCAAAUUAUAUAUCCAUUUUAUAGAUGAUAUUUUCAUCAUACUAUAGACUAUGUAGUAUAUGCAGAAAAAAUAAUUGAAGACAUUAAUAUCAAUCAACAUCUAUAGUUUAACCCUUCAAACAGAACAAGUCAGCAAAAGAAAUAGUAAACUUCUUGGGCAUUACUAUAUACAAAUAUAAUAAGAGGUAUAUUACAAAAAUUUAUAGGAAGUUAGCAAGCAUACUGAUGUAUAUCUAUGGUGCACCAUAUAAUUGCAGCAGAUACAAAAUGGUAAGUUUCCAUGCACUUAUAUAACAAGCUCUCACUGCCUACACACAUUUCACUAACCUAUAGGAAGAAUUAAAUUUUCUAAAGGAUAUCAAUAUCAAGAAUGAAUAUUACAUAAGGAAAUUUUAUAAAAUUAUACACAAUGCAAAAAAAAAAAAAAGAUUUAGCAAGAAAAACAAUGAAAUUACAGAAGCAAGCAUAAGAAAAGUAGCAAUUAAAUGACAU
rnacentral:lncRNA from 1 species